UGGGGAAUUUUGGACAAUGGGGGCAACCCUGAUCCAGCCAUCCCGCGUGUGCGAUGAAGGCCUUCGGGUUGUAAAGCACUUUUGGCAGGGAAGAAACAGCCUGGGAUAAUACCCCGGGCGACUGACGGUACCUGCAGAAUAAGCACCGGCUAACUACGUGCCAGCAGCCGCGGUAAUACGUAGGGUGCAAGCGUUAAUCGGAAUUACCGGGCGUAAAGCGUGCGCAGGCGGUUCGGAAAGAAAGGUGUGAAAUCCCAGGGCUUAACCUUGGAACUGCACUUUUAACUACCGAGCUAGAGUACGUCAGAGGGGGGUAGAAUUCCACGUGUAGCAGUGAAAUGCGUAGAGAUGUGGAGGAAUACCGAUGGCGAAGGCAGCCCCCUGGGAUGAUACUGACGCUCAUGCACGAAAGCGUGGGGAGCAAACAGGAUUAGAUACCCUGGUAGUCCACGCCCUAAACGAUGUCAACUAGCUGUUGGGGUUUAUUAACCUUAGUAGCGCAGCUAACGCGUGAAAGUUGACCGCCUGGGGGAGUACGGUCGCAAGAUUAAAACUCAAAUGAAUUGAC
rnacentral:rRNA from 1 species